rnacentral:rRNA from 1 species
AUACGUAGGGGACGAGCGUUGUCCGGAAUUACUGGGCGUAAAGGGCGCGCAGGCGGAUAUUUAAGUCAGAUGUAAAAGGCCUGAGCUCAACUCAUGUAUGCGGUUGAAACUGGGUAUCUAGAGUGCUGGAGAGGUAGGCGGAAUUCCCGGUGGAGCGGGGGAAUGGGUAGAUAUCGGGAAGAACACCCGGGGCGAAGGGGGCUUACGGGCCAGCAACAGACGCUGAGGCGCGAAAGCCAGGGGAGCGAACGGGAUUAGAUCCCCCGGUAGUCCUGGCCGUAAACGAUGAAUGCUAGGUGUGGGUGUCGAGAGGCAUCCGUGCCGGAGUUAACGCGAUAAGCAUUCCGCCUGGGGAGUACGAUCGCAAGAUUGAAACUCAAAUGAAUUGACGGGG